AACAUCUAAGUACCCCGAGGAAAAGAAAUCAACCGAGAUUCCGAAAGUAGCGGCGAGCGAAAUUGGACUAGCCCUUAAGCUUUACACGCGUUAGACGAACGGUCUGGAAAGUCCGACGAUACAGGGUGAUAGUCCCGUAGUUGACGACGUGUGUUCAGUGAAAUCGAGUAGGGCGGGACACGUGAUAUCCUGUCUGAAUAUGGGGGGACCAUCCUCCAAGGCUAAAUACUACUGACUGACCGAUAGUGAACCAGUACCGUGAGGGAAAGGCGAAAAGAACCCCUGUGAGGGGAGUGAAAUAGAACCUGAAACCGUGUAC
rnacentral:rRNA from 1 species